UACGGAAGGUGCGAGCGUUGUUCGGAAUUACUGGGCGUAAAGGGCGCGUAGGCGGAUCUGUAUGUCGAUUGUGAAAUCCCCGGGCUUAACCUGGGAAUUGCAGUCGAAACUACAGACCUUGAAUGUCAGAGAGGGUGGGGGAAUUCCUGGUGUAGAAGUGAAAUUCGUAGAUAUCAGGAGGAACACCGGAGGCGAAAGCGCCUACCUGGCUGUGCAUUGACGCUGAGGCGCGAAAGCGUGGGGAG
rnacentral:rRNA from 1 species